rnacentral:rRNA from 1 species
UGGGGAAUAUUGCACAAUGGGCGGAAGCCUGAUGCAGCGAUGCCGCGUGGGGGAUGAAGGCCUUCGGGUUGUAAACUCCUUUCGACAGGGACGAAGCGUAAGUGACGGUACCUGUAUAAGAAGCACCGGCUAACUACGUGCCAGCAGCCGCGGUAAUACGUAGGGUGCGAGCGUUGUCCGGAAUUACUGGGCGUAAAGAGCUCGUAGGUGGUUUGUCGCGUCGUCUGUGAAAUUCCGGGGCUUAACUCCGGGCGUGCAGGCGAUACGGGCUGACUUGAGUGCUGUAGGGGAGACUGGAAUUCCUGGUGUAGCGGUGAAAUGCGCAGAUAUCAGGAGGAAUACCGAUGGCGAAGGCAGGUCUCUGGGCAGUAACUGACGCUGAGGAGCGAAAGCAUGGGUAGCGAACAGGAUUAGAUACCCUGGUAGUCCAUGCCGUAAACGGUGGGCGCUAGGUGUAGGGGGCUUCCACGUCCUCUGUGCCGUAGCUAACGCAUUAAGCGCCCCGCCUGGGGAGUACGGCCGCAAGGCUA